rnacentral:rRNA from 1 species
UACAGAGGGGGCAAGCGUUGUUCGGAAUUACUGGGCGUAAAGGGCGCGUAGGUGGCGGCCCAAGUCCGUGGUGAAAGCUCGUCGCUUAACGACGAGUCGGCCACGGAGACUGGGUGGCUCGAGCACUGUAGGGGCAGAUGGAAUUCCGGGUGUAGCGGUGGAAUGCGUAGAGAUCCGGAAGAACACCAGUGGCGAAGGCGGUCUGCUGGGCAGUUGCUGACACUGAUGCGCGACAGCGUGGGGAGCAAACAGG